AACCCUCGGGCCAAAGGACAUGCCACGGCCUCCAGGCUUCUAGUCCCUUCCUUGAAGGAUCGGCAAGUCACACGCAGAGCCUCAAGCAAGGGACUUCCAGCUGGUGGCUUCCAGCAGCUUCCUGCUCCUGAACCACCAUCGUC
rnacentral:pre_miRNA from 2 species